rnacentral:rRNA from 1 species
UGAUGGCCAGAAAUGUCAUGCCUCUCGAGCGAACAGACAAGGAGCUUGACUCCUUUGACGUUAGCGGCGGACGGGUGAGUAACACGUGGGUAACCUACCUAUAAGACUGGGAUAACUUCGGGAAACCGGAGCUAAUACCGGAUAAUAUUUCGAACCGCAUGGUUCGAUAGUGAAAGAUGGUUUUGCUAUCACUUAUAGAUGGACCCGCGCCGUAUUAGCUAGUUGGUAAGGUAACGGCUUACCAAGGCGACGAUACGUAGCCGACCUGAGAGGGUGAUCGGCCACACUGGAACUGAGACACGGUCCAGACUCCUACGGGAGGCAGCAGUAGGGAAUCUUCCGCAAUGGGCGAAAGCCUGACGGAGCAACGCCGCGUGAGUGAUGAAGGUCUUCGGAUCGUAAAACUCUGUUAUUAGGGAAGAACAUACGUGUAAGUAACUAUGCACGUCUUGACGGUACCUAAUCAGAAAGCCACGGCUAACUACGUGCCAGCAGCCGCGGUAAUACGUAGGUGGCAAGCGUUAUCCGGAAUUAUUGGGCGUAAAGCGCGCGUAGGCGGUUUUUUAAGUCUGAUGUGAAAGCCCACGGCUCAACCGUGGAGGGUCAUUGGAAACUGUAAAACUUGAGUGCAGAAGAGGAAAGUGGAAUUCCAUGUGUAGCGGUGAAAUGCGCAGAGAUAUGGAGGAACACCAGUGGCGAAGGCGACUUUCUGGUCUGUAACUGACGCUGAUGUGCGAAAGCGUGGGGAUCAAACAGGAUUAGAUACCCUGGUAGUCCACGCCGUAAACGAUGAGUGCUAAGUGUUAGGGGGUUUCCGCCCCUUAGUGCUGCAGCUAACGCAUUAAGCACUCCGCCUGGGAGUACGACCGCAAGUUUGAAACUCAAAGGAAUUGACGGGGACCCGCACAAGCGGUGGAGCAUGUGUUUAAUUCGAAGCAACCGCGAAGAACCUUACCAAAUCUGACAUCCUUUGACAACUCUAGAGAUAGAGCCUUCCCCUUCGGGGGAACAAAGUUGACAGGUGGUGCAUGCUGUCGUCAGCUCUGUCUUGAGAAAUGUAGGCUAGGUCCCGCCACGGAGCGCCACCUUAAGCUUAGUCGCCAUCAUUAGUGGCCACUCCUAAGUGACCUGCGGUGACAACCGGAGAGUGGAUACGUCAAUCAUCAUUGCCCUUUAGAUUGGCUCACACGCUCUCAAUGCACAAUACAAGGCACGAGAUCCCGCCUAGU